AACGAACGCUGGCGGCAUGCCUAACACAUGCAAGUCGAACGAGACCUUCGGGUGUAGUGGCGCACGGGUGCGUAACGUGUGGGAACCUUCCCUUAGGCUCGGAAUAACUCCCCGAAAGGGGUGCUAACACCGGAUAAUGUCUUCGGACCAAAGAUUUAUCGUCCUGGGAUGGGCCCGCGUUGUAUUAGCUAGUUGGUAGGGUAAGAGCCUACCAAGGCGUCGAUCCAUAGCUGGUCUGAGAGGAUGAGCAGCCACACUGGGACGGAGACACGGCCCAGACUCCUACGGGAGGCAGCAGUGGGGAAUAUUGGACAACGGGCGAAAGCCUGAUCCAGCACUGCCGCGUGAGUGAUGAAGUCCUUAGGGUUGUAAAGCUCUUUUACCCGGGAUGAUAAUGACAGUACCGGGAGAAUAAGCUCCGGCUAACUCCGUG
rnacentral:rRNA from 1 species